CAGCAACCAAAGUGGGCGUGGCCUGCCUCCUGCGGGGAGCACAAAGCUGUCUUUGCUGGAAUGGAAAGAGAUCUUGUUGUAAGAGGAGCGUUGGAUGAACCAGCCCCAACCCAGGGUCUAGAGUUUGAGGAGUGACAAGGGCAGAUCUCUAAGGAAGCGAAACUCCUCUGAGACCCGACAGGGAACCAGCUUCCUCGAGGAACCUGAGUGAAAGGUGUCUCUGAAGCCCUGAAAGGCCUCUCAGCUUGGCAUGGCCCCCCGCCCCGCCCCAGCUCGCUCUCUUGAUGCCCAUGUGUGUGACUUGACAGCAUUCCUGCCUUGCUGGCCCACUGCCCCACUCCAAGGAAGGACGCUCUCAAGGUCCAGGUCCCUGGCAGUGUCAGGGCAACAUCAGUGGAAUGAGAACCCUGCUGAGCACAUGGGGCAGCUGUUUCCGUGGGACCUGCUGUCCUGACCUGGGAGUGCCAUGCUGGGGACAUGCUGAGGACCACAGGUGAUUUGAUGAAGGUAGUACUGUGUACCUUGCAAACACACCUCCAGUUAGUUACUCUCAGACGCUGCAGAUUUUCAAUUUUCUAGUAAAAGGAUUUCAUCAUAAAAGAGCUAGCCCCAGAAGUACCACCUUGUGACCUUUCAGAUAGAAUUUAGAGGGUUUAGAGAUGGCCCCAGGGAACUGCCUUUUCUGUACAAAGAUCCAGCUGUGUCCU
rnacentral:lncRNA from 1 species